ensembl:misc_RNA Metazoa_SRP Metazoan signal recognition particle RNA
GCUGGGCAUGAUGGCUCAUGCCUGUAAUCCCAGCACUUUGGGAGGCCGAGGUGGGUGGUUCAUCAGAGGUCAGGAGUUUAAGACCAGCCUGGCCGACAUGGUGAAACCCCAUCUCUA